rnacentral:rRNA from 1 species
CCCCUAGAUGUUCUGGGCCGCACGCGCGCUACACUGAACAGUUCAACAAGUCUUAACCUUGGCCGAUAGGUCUGGGUAAUCUUUGAACGCUGUUCGUGAUUGGGAUAGACCUUUGCAAUUAUGGGUCUUCAACGAGGAAUUCCUAGUAAACGCAAGUCAUCAGCUUGCAUUGAUUACGUCCCUGCCCUUUGUACACACCGCCCGUCGCACCUACCGAUUGAUUGGUCCGGUGAAAUCUCGGGACGGCGGCUUGGUCGCUUGCGUCCGACUGCUGAAACUUGAUUAAACCAUAUCAUUUAGAGGAAGGUGAAGUCGUAACA